UACGUAGGGUGCAAGCGUUGUCCGGAAUUAUUGGGCGUAAAGAGCUCGUAGGCGGUUUGUCGCGUCUGCUGUGAAAACCCGAGGCUCAACCUCGGGCCUGCAGUGGGUACGGGCAGACUAGAGUGAUGUAGGGGAGACUGGAAUUCCUGGUGUAGCGGUGAAAUGCGCAGAUAUCAGGAGGAACACCGGUGGCGAAGGCGGAUCUCUGGGCCAUUACUGACGCUGAGGAGCGAAAGCGUGGGGAGCGAACAGG
rnacentral:rRNA from 1 species